rnacentral:tRNA from 1 species
GCCCCGGUGGUGGAAUUGGUAGACACGCAGGACUUAAAAUCCUGUGUCUUCGCGGACGUACGGGUUCAAGUCCCGUCUGGGAGA